CGCACAUUGCGCCCUCUGGUAUUCCGGAGGGCAUGCCUGUUCGAGCGUCAUUUGAACCCUCAAGCCUGGCUUGGUGAUGGGGCACUGCCUGUAAAAGGGCAGGCCCUGAAAUACAGUGGCGAGCUCGCCAGGACUCCGAGCGUAGUAGUUAAACCCUCGCUUUGGAAGGCCUGGCGGUGCCCUGCCGUUAAACCCCAACUCUUGAAAAUUUGACCUCGGAUCAGGUAGGAAUACCCGCUGAACUUAA
rnacentral:misc_RNA from 1 species